AUCCCAACUUGGAUAUCACAAAAAUGGUCACCCUAUCACUAGAUUUUGAAGUUUCAUGAACUCUACGGCCUCCACGGCCCUGAUGGUGUACCUACUGAAGAGUGUGUAGUUAUUGGAGCUGUAUAUUGCCUUGGCACUGGCCUCACAUGGCCUCCUCGAUUUACCUAGUUCAAUAUACACACAUAUAUAAAUCAAUGAAAAUAAAUACAAGAAACAAACUAAAAGCACCAAUCAAACAUGAAAGAAGCAUUGUCAUACCUCCCUACUAGCUGCUGUUGAUGGUACAUGAUAUUCUUGUUGAUUCAGUCCACUAUUUUGGUUGCCUCUACCUCGAUCCUUUGCCAGCUCCACCUCCUCUGUCAGCUCCACCUCCUCGCGCACCUCCUCUGCCAGCUCUACCUCCACACAUACCCUGCCCACAAAUAUACAAUUUUUUUUUUUUACAAAGAUCAAAUAAACAUUUCUAAACAUGCAUUAUUAUAGAAAGAAAUUUGGUUGGCUUCAGUUGGUGUACUCACUUGAGUUUGUGUUCUUGAGGUCACAUUAGCUUGAAUUGGUGUGUUGGCUGGUGUUGACGUGCUCGCUUGAGUUGGUGUUUGUGAGGAGAGAUUACCUUGAACUUGUUCAACCAAAUUCUGAACAUGCAUGAAAUUAGCAUAUAAUUAUAAAGCCAUUUCAGAAACUUUUAAACCCCACAAAAAAGUACACAGUAAUUAGAUGUGUUCAUAUAUAACUANNNNN
rnacentral:lncRNA from 1 species